UUAGACAAAGGUAAUCAAAACCACACUGAGAUAUGUCAUACUCACCAUGAUGGUUAUUAACAAAAUAAUAGAAAAUAAGUUUUAGGAAACUUGGAUCCUUUGUGAUUUGUCAGUGAGCAUGUGAAAUUGUGUAGUCAUUUUGGAAAGCAGCAUGGAGUGUCCUCAAAAAAAAAAAAAAAGGAAAUAGGGAAGGCAUUUGGGCUAGCAAAUAAGAUGGAACACCCACUGUUGCCAGCGGCCAUCUUGGCAUGGUCUUCUCAUUCCACCACAUUUCCCUCUUUUCGUUUAUUUUUGACCAACAGGAGGCAUGAUUCUGGCGCUCCAAUGUGACUGAGGGAGAGAAACAGCAUGUCGGACUUGGCAAGGUCCCCCCUGGAUUUCAGCAAGUAGGCCCCUCAGUGUUUUGUGUGCUGUUUGGUUCUGUGAGGGUGAGCACAGAACCCCCUCCUAUGCCCCUUUCCUUGUCCUUGUCCUCAGUCUAAGUGACCCCAGGUUAGCACACACCACCCAGAAGCGUACGUCGCUUCUCAGCUCCUCCUUUUACUUUUGGUUCGUCUGGUGAAUUCAUAUAAGGGACUGAUCAUCCCAGAAUUCAGAACCAAGUCAUCUUCCCUCACUGAGAGAGGUGACGCUCUGGAGACACUGUGUGGGCAUACAGCCUUGACCUAAUGAAUCAAGGAAGUCCCCUACUAAGCACAGGAAAUACGUAUGGCCUGAUACGCCACUGUCUAUUUGUCUAACGUAGGGAACCCCCUGCAGAAUGCCAUCAGCCGCUGAGAUGCUAGGAAUUUGCUUUGUUAUGGCAGCCGUGCUGUGGGUGUCUCCUUUGGCUAGAGUUGGUGUGGCGCACUGCUGUUAAGUGCUCAAACAUGGGAAAGAUACUCCCCUCUCGGAAUUCCAUGCAGAUUACCAAACAUAGUGAAUCUGUGAGUGAUAAGAGCCUGACACUCUAGGUCCCUGUCUCACAGACAACAGUUGAUGACUUAGGGAGAGAGAGCUCCCACAGUGACAAUGACAUGACAGCAGACAAGGUAGCAAUGUCUGGUCAGCCACCCCCACAUACUUGUGGGAUGAACUUAGAUGCCCUCGAGGCAAUAACCCAUGUGAGGUCAUCUCAUCUGCACCCAGUGAGGAUCCCCACAUUUGUGGCAGUUCCCAGGCACCCCAGGCUUUCAGGGCAGCUGCUAGACCCCAUCCCACCUGCAUGUUUGCCGUUAAUAUAGGAGCGAAUGCAGAAUUCAGGCCCUGGAUUCCAACGCCUAUAAAAAGGCUUCUGCUAACCAAGGGUUGAGGAUAUGCUUGUGUCUUUUCAGAGAAUGCAGGACAGCACAUUUGGGUACCAGCCAGAAACAUCAAGCCUGCAACUGACAGCCAACCAGAACCAGCUGAACAAGACUGAGAGCCCGCCUUGUUAGCGGAUGCACCCUGAGGAACUGCCCACAGCCACAUCCGUUACUGUUUUAUACCCCACUAGCUCUAGUCAGCCACUCAAACGGUCCACAGCCUGUGUGCAGUCACGCCAUUCCUGAUUACAAUUGUUCCUCAUUCCUUCCCUCAUCUGAGCAAGCACUCCUAUGGUCUCCCAUUUUGAACGUUGGUUAGUCAAUGACAGGUAAGAUCCCCUGGGGGACAACCUAAAACAGGCACAGCUGCGUACGGAGACCACAUGGAAACGGGGUCAACAAUGGUAUGGCCAAGAAUCAUGCCUCCCGUUGCUCAAAAAUAAAUGAAAAGGAGGAAAUGUGGUAGAAUGAGAAGGCCAUGCCAAGAUGGCCACUGGCAACAGAAGCUGCCUGGCAACAGGCUGUGAUUGGAUGGCUUCGGAAACUGCCUGGCAACAGGGUGUGAUUGGUUAGGGCAUAGAUCUCCCCUUGACUGGAUUGGCUGCCUUGGCUAUAAAAGCUGCUAUAGCAACUGAAAUAAACGAGUCUGCAGGCUGCUUGCCUCAGGCCUGCUUCACCCGACUCCCAGGGUCUGUGUGGUGACUCCGCGCCUCUUGCCCCCACCACGUUCUUCCUCCCAGAAACAAAUCCACAGCAACAACCCACAUCCCAAAUAGUAAUGCCUGGGUUUAAGUCCCAACUAUGGUCCCAAUUCCGGCUUCCAGCUAAUAUACACCCUGGGGAGUAGUAGGUAAUGGCUUAAGUAGUUGGGUCCAUGCCACCCAUGUGGAAGACCCAGAUUGAAUUGCUGGCUUUUGUCUUUAGCGUGGCCCAACCCCACAUAUUAUAGUAAUUCGGGGAAUGAGCCAGUGGGUGAGAGAUCUCUGAUGUCCAUCUCUUUCAAAAAAAUUUUUAAAAAUUUAAGAAAUAGAAUUACCCUUGGUAUCCAGCAAUCCCACUUCUGAGUAUAUCUCCCCCCAAAUUCAAAGAGAGAUUUUCAGACCAUAUUUGUUACAGCAUUAUUCACAAUAACCAAAAAAAAUGCAACAACCCAAUUAUCCAGCAGCAGAUAAUAGAUGAAGAAAAAGUGGUGCAUACAUGCAGUGAAAUAUUAUGCAGUAUCCUUUCUCAUAUUGCCACAUGGAUGAAGACUGAAGACAUGCUAAGUGAAGUAAGACAGCCAUAAAAGUAACAAGAUGGCAAAUUACUUGAUGCACUGGUGUCCAUAACUCUGUGAAAAAGUUAUCACUUCCUGUGUGAUAUGCACUAAGGGUCACCGUGAGGAGCACGCUCAUUGAGUAGGAAAGAGAGCUGGAAUAACAAUGUGCUGAAAGUCAAGGAAUGGAUAUGUGGACAAGGAGUCAUGGCAGCAACAGAGAGAGGCAUUAGCUGCAACCCGAAGAGGUAGAGUACUAUCCAAGAAGGCAUCCUAGAGGAAAAACAGAAGAAUACAUGGACUGGAAAACUCAAUUUGCAGCUUACUGCUUACUGAUAUUGAAGUGGAUGAGACUCACUGGGGAAAGUCUGAUGCUUCAGAUGGGAAGAAACAUCAGGAAAUAAGAUACUGUGGAGAGGUACCCAUGGACCAUUCCACCGGGCUUCUGCUGCUCCUACACCUGUUCCUCCCCACAGAAGGAGAGACCCACCUGGUGGUACCUCGCUGGAUGACCAGCUGUCCCAGCUUGCCUAGGACUGUCACAUCUUUAGCACUGAAAGCCUCAUGCAACUCCUUGUUCAGCCCCAGGCAAAUUGGAAUGAAGAUGCCUCCCUCAGAAAGACUUUCUGGGCCUUUUAAUUCAGACCCAUAGAUGGAGGCUUGAGGGUCAUGAGACUUACCCCUGCCUUGCGAAGCACACCAUUUAUCUGAAUAUUUAUAUUUGCU